rnacentral:rRNA from 1 species
CAGCCGCCGCGGUAAUACGGAGGGUGCAAGCGUUAAUCGGAAUUACUAGGCGUAAAGCGCACGCAGGCGGUCUGUCAAGUCAGAUGUGAAAUCCCCGGGCUUAACCUGGGAACUGCAUUUGAAACUGGCAGGCUAGAGUCUUGUAGAGGGGGGUAGAAUUCCAGGUGUAGCGGUGAAAUGCGUAGAGAUCUGGAGGAAUACCGGUGGCGAAGGCGGCCCCCUGGACAAAGACUGACGCUCAGGUGCGAAAGCGUGGGGAGCAAACAGGAUUAGAUACCCGUGUAGUCCCUGUCUCUUAUAC